UGGGGUGUAGCUCAGUGGUGAAGUACAUGCCUAGCAUGCAUGAGGCCUUGGGUUUGAUCUCCAGAAUCUCAA
rnacentral:tRNA from 1 species